UACGGAGGGUGCAAGCGUUAUCCGGAUUCACUGGGUUUAAAGGGUGCGUAGGCGGGCAGGUAAGUCAGUGGUGAAAUCCCCGAGCUUAACUUGGGAACUGCCGUGGAUACUAUCAAUCUUGAAUAUCGUGGAGGUAAGCGGAAUAUGUCAUGUAGCGGUGAAAUGCUUAGAUAUGACAUAGAACACCAAUUGCGUAGGCAGCUUACUACACGAUCAUUGACGCUGAGGCACGAAAGCGUGGGGAGCAAACAGG
rnacentral:rRNA from 1 species